CCGCACGGGUGAGUAACACGUAUCCAACCUGCCGUCUACUCUUGGACAGCCUUCUGAAAGGAAGAUUAAUACAAGAUGGCAUCAUGAGUUCACAUGUUCACAUGAUUAAAGGUAUUCCGGUAGACGAUGGGGAUGCGUUCCAUUAGAUAGUAGGCGGGGUAACGGCCCACCUAGUCUUCGAUGGAUAGGGGUUCUGAGAGGAAGGUCCCCCACAUUGGAACUGAGACACGGUCCAA
rnacentral:rRNA from 1 species